GGGGAAUAUUGCGCAAUGGGCGAAAGCCUGACGCAGCGACGCCGCGUGGGGGAUGAAUGCCUUCGGGUUGUAAACCCCUUUCGGCAGGGACGAAGCGAUCGUGACGGUACCUGCAGAAGAAGUCCCGGCUAACUACGUGCCAGCAGCCGCGGUAAGACGUAGGGGACGAGCGUUGUCCGGAUUCAUUGGGCGUAAAGCGCGCGUAGGCGGUCACGCAAGUCGGUUGUGAAAAUCCGGGGCUCAACCCCGGACCUGCAUCCGAUACUGCGUGACUAGAGGUAGGUAGGGGAGAUCGGAAUUCCUGGUGUAGCGGUGAAAUGCGCAGAUAUCAGGAGGAACACCGGUGGCGAAGGCGGAUCUCUGGGCCUUACCUGACGCUCAGGCGCGAAAGCUAGGGGAGCGAACA
rnacentral:rRNA from 1 species